rnacentral:rRNA from 1 species
AUGGACGCGGAGAACCAGGCGGCGGCGGCCAUGGCAGGAGCUCCUGCGCUGCGGUGUCGCGAGGACAACGGGGUGGAGGCGGCGGGUAGGGCUUGCCGGCGGCGCAACCGGAGCGGCUCGAGGUGGUGGCAAAGGGCAAGGAGGAGCUCGGGCGCGAGGUACGGCGAGGUCCCGCGCAAGGUCUCCUCAUGUGGGUGGUGUCGCGCGUGGGGGACCGAGAGGGAGUUGGGGAUCGAGCUGAGGGAAGUGGACCGAUCGGGAGGAGUGGGUUGUGGGGGCGUGCGGUUAGGGUUACGGGGGAGUGGGAGGGUUAGGUAG